GCGCNNGCUAUACAUGCAGUCGAGCGGACGGAUGGGAGCUUGCUCCCAGACCGUCAGCGGCGGACGGGUGAGUAACACGUGGGCAACCUGCCUGUAAGACUGGGAUAACUCCGGGAAACCGGGGCUAAUACCGGAUAACUCUUUUCCUCACAUGAGGAAAAGCUGAAAGAUGGCAUCUCGCUAUCACUUACAAAUGGGCCCGCGGCGCAUUACCUAGUUGGGGAGGUAACGGCUCACCAAGGCCACAAUGCGUACCCAACCUGAAAGGGUGAUCGGCCACCCUGGGACUGAAACACGGCCCAAACUCCUACGGGAGGCAGCAGUAGGGAAUCUUCCGCAAGGGACAAAAGUCUGACGGACCACCGCCCCGGGAGUGAUGAAGGUUUUCGGAUCGUAAAACUCUGUUGUCAGGGAAAAACAAGUACCGAAGUAACUGCCGGUACCUUGACGGUACCUGACCAAAAAGCCACGGCUAACUACGUGCCACCAGCCGCGGUAAUACGUAGGUGGCAAGCGUUGUCCGGAAUUAUUGGGCGUAAAGCGCGCGCAGGCGGUUCCUUAAGUCUGAUGUGAAAGCCCCCGGCUCAACCGGGGAGGGUCAUUGGAAACUGGGGAACUUGAGUGCAAAAAAAAAAAGUGAAAUUCCACGUGUAGCGGUGAAAUGCGUAAAGAUGUGAAGGAACACCAUUGGCAAAGGCAACUCUUUGUUCUGUAACUGACGCUGAGGCNCGAAAGCGUGGGGAGCAAACAGGAUUAGAUACCCUUGGUAGUCCACGCCGUAAACGAUGAGUGCUAAGUNGUUAGAGGGUUUCCGCCCUUUAGGUGCUGCAGCAAACGCAUUAAGCACUCCCGCCUGGGGGAGUACGGCCGCAAGGCUGAAACUCAAAGGAAUUGACGGGGGCCCGCCACAAGCGGUGGAGCAUGUGGUUUAAUUCGAAGCANGCGAA
rnacentral:rRNA from 1 species